AUAAAUGUUUAUACCAGUACUAAUGCACCGGAUCCCAUCAGAACUCCGCAGUUAAGCGUGCUUGGGCGAGAGUAGUACUAGGAUGGGUGACCUCCUGGGAAGUCCUCGUGUUGCACCCC
rnacentral:rRNA from 1 species